rnacentral:misc_RNA from 1 species
AGCCCGCAGCUCGCGAUCGCCACCAGAGGAAAGGUGCGAAGACCAGCACUGCUGCCUUCGCGCUCUUGACUCCAGCCAAUCGGUAACGCGAGCACGUAAGCAACGGAGAGANNNNNNNNCAAGAUAGGAGUUGGAAUCUCGUCACCUGGAGACCCCGCAUCCCUGACUGCGAUAGACCGCUAUCCCAAGCCCACAAUGGGAUAGCGGAGGGGCUCGUCUGCGUGA